AACAAGGCGUACCUGCGGACCUGCGGAGGGAUCAUUAGUUUUAGCGGACUUGCAGCGGAGCGAUCCCUGCAACCAUCCCUACAACCAUCGCGAACGCUACCCCCCCGACCGUUGCCUCGGCGGGCGGCGCCCUCCCCGGCCCGGGAGGCGCCCCCGCCGCGGGAGCGCAGACAAACUCUUUUUUUGGCAGCCAUUGUCCCUCUGAGUACGAUUCUAACGAGUCAAAACUUUUAACAACGG
rnacentral:misc_RNA from 1 species